rnacentral:lncRNA from 1 species
AGUUCCCAGUACCCAUGUCAGGUGGCUCGCAACUCCCUAUAGCUCUACUUCCUGGAAUCUGGCAUCAGUACACACACACACACACACACACACACACACACACACACACAGUAUCUUCACAUAAUUUCAAAUGAUAAAAAUAAAAAUCUUAAAAAGAAACUAAGGUGGAAAGUACCUGAGGAAUUAUACCUGAGGUGGUCGUCUGUCUGGCCUGCAUACAUGUGCAUACAUGUGCAUACAUUUGUAUACAUGUGCAUACACGUGCUUGCUCGCUCAGACAUAGACACGCACCCAUGAACAAAUACACUCAUACGUACACAGAAAUAAAAAUUAAAAAGCAUAAAUUCAUCCAUAUAUUUUAAAUCAACUUUAGAUGACUUAAAACACACAAUAAGGCCUGUGUUGUACCAUAGCAUUUAGUCAGAGGAUAGAGACAAAAUGUUUACAUUUUGUUUAUGGGAACAAUUUGUCUUUUAAGCAUUUUCAGUCCUGGCUUGUUAAAUCUGAGGGUGUAGAAGCUGUGGUUAUUGAGGCCAAGUGUGCAUGGAUUAUAGAAACUAAGGCCCGUUUGUAUUCAUGGAUUGGGAAAUGGAAGGCAAUUGUUUACCCUUUCUGACAUUGGAGGUGUGUCUGAGGCUCCUAUGAGUGGGUGUGUGAUGUCAGAUUCUUGCCAGUUCAGGGUAGGUGUGUGGUGACAGUGAUGGAGUCAGCAUAUAUGACCUCUUUUAGAACAGGCCUUAGUAUUGACAAAGCCAGGCUUCUCCCUUUAAAUCAUACACCCUCUUCUAGCUACCUGACUCUAAGGUUGUAGUCCCUGAUGUGACUUCUGCCUUUUUCUGUAAUUUCUGAGACCUCCAGCAUAAUUACACGGUCCUGAUAUUAAAUCAACUCAGCAGAUGGUGAAAUAGCAGUUAGAGCCACCCAGAUCUUAUUUCCACAGUGACUGUGACCUUGUUGAGCCCACCUUAGCGUUGAGGAGAAACAGCAAAUGCACUGAAAGAACAAGUUGCGUCACAGCACCAGGAAGGUAGCUAGCACAGGAGUGAAGGUCAAGCCCUUGGCAGUGCUUCCUCAGGAGCUCUGCAUGCUGGCUUGGCUUGGUCUUAGGUUGAUGUGUCAGCAUUGCCAUGGGAGCUGAGAACUCAUGACGCCUCAUCCCUUCCAGGCAUGAAGACUGGUGGGUAUGUAUGUCAGUAGUUCUUUGAAGACAUGCGACUCAUGGAAUAAAAGGCACUCUGGGGCCCUUGACCCUUUGCUUGGGCAGACACUGGUCUAUGGUUAGAUGGGACAUCUAGUAAGGAUGCAAGUGGAGGGAAGUAUGUGAACUCUCUGGCCACUUACAGUCCUCUGACCUUUAACUUGCUUCUGUGAUCAAAUUACCUUUGUUUAAAUAUUUCAUUUGUGGGGAAAUCCCUGCAAUGUAAAUCCUAACACCCGAAAAUAUCAUCAGUAUCUCUGUAGCUUUCUUGUAACCAUCUAGGCUGCAGGGAAUAUGCUGACCCAUUUGUAUCUCAUGCAGCACUUAAUGGGGACCCACAGAUGUAGUAGGAAGCACCCUAGCAGAUCCUUCCACAGCCUCCACUUACCUUUGCCACCAGCUUGGAAGGGGCUCAUGGUCAUCAUUAUGUUUACUGCAAAGAAAACUUGAGGCUGUAUGUGAGUCGCUCAACUCUCAUAGGGUACGUGAGACUCCGUGAUAGCCAGUGCAGAGCUGGCCUUGGCCUGAGACAUGCUGCCUCUGUCCUCUUGCCCAUGAACUGAAGGUAUCCCAGGGAAGACAUGUAGAUGAGCAACUUUGAAGGUCUGUCUGGCUGUUUUUCUUCUUCUUUUAUAUUUAUUUAUUUUGGGGUCUAUAUCCAAUACUAUAACACAUGUGUAAAUGUCAGAGGAACACCUACCAGAUCAGAGUCAGUUCUCCUCUUCUGCCAUGUGGUUCUGGGGAUCAAAGUCACACCAUCAGGUUUUGGGGUAUGUACUUGUACCUUCUGCUCAUUUUGGUGACUCUUCCCCCUUUCUUCUCUACAGGAAACAGAGUUCUAAAGUCACCAGGGAAGGAUUCCCACCUUGAAGGACUGUCAUCCUACUUGACAACCUAUUGCACUAUCCUAAUGAUUUUCAUAGUCAAGAACACUUUUCCAAAUUGCUUUUAAUUUUGAAAAAAUUAGUUAUUAAUUGAUCGAUUGUGUGUGUGUGAAGGCCACAGAGUAAUUGAUAGCAGUUGUUUCUCUUCUUCUACCUUGUGGGGCCUGGGGAUUAAACUCAAGUCUUUAUACUUGGUCAUAAGCACGCCCCCUACUGAGUCAUCUCACCUCCUGCUGGGUCACCUAACAACCUACUAAGUCACCUCACCACCUGCUGAGUCAUCUCACCAUCUACUGAGUCAGCUCACCACCUGCUGAAUCACCUCACCACCUGCUGAGUCAGCUCACCAUCUGUUGGGUCACCUCAGCACUUGCUGAGUCACCUCAUCACCUGCCAAGUCAGCUCACCAUCUGUUGGGUUACCUUACCACCUGCUGAGUCACCUCAGCACUUGCUGAGUCGCCUCACCACCUGCUGAGUCAGCUUACCACCUGCUGAGUCACUUCACUACCUGCUAAGUCACCUCACCACCUGUUGGAUCACCUCACUACCUACUGAGUUAAGUCACCACUAACUGAGUCAGCUCACCACCUGCUGAGUCACCUCAUCACCAGCUGAGUCACCUCAUUAGCCCAUUGUUUCUAAAUCCUUCUCACUCAAGUUUAAGACAUGAGCUUCCCACUGCUAAAAGAGAACAGAUGGUUACAAAAUUCUGCAUAUGAAUUCUUCGUUCUUUGGGAACAAACACACAUAAGUAUUAUGUACCUUGAAACACAUACCCACAUCCACACAACCCUGAUCCUGUGCAUCCAUUCACUGUUACACAGUGAAAAGUUCAGCAUUUCUUACCUUUUGGGUAUUUUCUUUCUUUUGAAAUAUGCGUGAUUGCCCCCAUCCCAACUCCACAGGAGGACCUCAUAGUUGGUACUGCUAACCUGGUGUAGGUUUCUAAGCCAAUGACUAGGAGGAUAGUAGACACAGGGGAGUCAGGCGGGUGGGCAGGGGUUGAAUCAGUUACUGUUGUUUUGCUAAAGGGACUACUCUCUAUCUAUGUACCCAUAGAUCACACCCUUGGUUAGAGAUGCUUUUGCUUGCCUUGGGACAUAACUGGUCCAUGUGCUGAGAAAAGGGACUCUUGGGUACUCAGCCCUAUGUGGGACAUCUGUAUAACACAUCCCCAGAGCCCAGGGAAUAUCAUGGGGGAAUAUAAGAGCUAUAGGAUGAGAAUUGGUGCUACAGAAUGCUGUUUGUGGAUAAGACAUGGCUGAUGCAUCCAUAACUCAGAGCAACAGUGGUGACUUGCUCAAGACCUUCACAAGACUGAGCUGUCAACCUUCUACCCUGGAUGGAAGACGGGAUGGUAAGAUCCCAUCCUUCCAUCGGAGCAACAGGCAAUUAAAACGUGCACAGGGAAGGAAGAACAUACUCUUUAUACUGCUGAGUCACGAUUGCAUUGCCCUCACCCAAAUAAAUGUAGGAAACCACAAUUAAAUGAGGUGAGUCAUCAAUAAACCACAAACAAACAAACAAGUAAGCAACAGACAUAAAAGUUGGAGGACUGAGGAGAAGGGAUUUAUUGGGAGGCGACAAGAGAAGACUACGACAACGGCGCAAUUUUGAUCAAAGAAUGUGCGAAACUGUAAAAAAAAAUAGUAAAUAUGUUAAAUACAUAAAAAUAAAGACAAAAAUACCACAGAUUAAGUACAAACUAACGGUUAGUUCCUCACAAGUAAUGUAUGCUAACAGUUUGCACUGUGCUUCUUAUAGUGCAGUAGUAGAUGAUGCUUACCAACUGGAUCCUUGCCUGUUGUUUUAAAGUUUAUCAGUUGGACUCCCCUCCUGGAGACAUGCAUCCUGCAUAUAAUAAAUUCUCAGAAAGAACGUGUCCAGAAGCUGCCUGGUUAUACAAUGUUGUCUUCCCAAAUCUUAAGACAUCAAGAGAUGGUUUUAAAAUCUGGCACAAGCCAGAGGGUGUGAUAGUACAUGCCUUUGGUCCCUGAAUUUGGGAGACAAAGGGAGGGAUUGAACUUGUAGAUUAGGUUUGAACCUCUCUCUGAGUUUUGGUUUAGUCUACACCCUGAGACGCUGUUGAAAAACCAACUGAAGAAGCAAGCAAACCAAGUCUGGAACAGUUUACAUAUGUAUGCCAUUAGGACCACACAUCUGCCCUCUGCUUUGCUCUGUUGUAUUUCUACUUUUAUUAUGGAUGACUUUGUGCAUUUUCAUGGGGUCUUAUUUAGAAUGUGACCAAAACUUUCCAAGUAAGUAAGUGAUUUCCAGUUGGGUAAUAUGUUGGAGACAGGACCUAGUGUAUAGGUCCAUGUGGGGGCGGGGUUAAGACGGGAGGCAGGAAAGAUGGCAGAGUCAGGGAAAACUGUUCUAGUGGUGCUUCACUGCCUCUUAGCAUUCUGUCUCUUACAGUCACCACCACUGGGUCAUCAUCAAGCAGUCACAAUCAGAAAGGUAAGGAAAACAGACGAUAUGAGGAAGGGUCCAGAGCUGGGCAGUCUUUGGUCAGAAGAUCACAUUUGGUUUUGCUUCAGAUUGCUGAAGGGAAGAAAAGAAAGGGAGAGAAGGGAGAGGUUGGAGAGGACAGGGAGGGCAGGGACACAAUGAAGUGCAGAGAGACGGCCAACUGGGGUGGGGGUUUUGGCCCUCAGUAGGCUCAGUCCCACCACUCACUCUGUGGGGGUUUCAGCGCUGAAGGCAAGAUCAAGGGAGUACCAUGCUUCCAAAUUUUCCUGUACCUGCCUCUAACCAGCCUUCGCAAACUGACCCGGAUCUCUUUAUGCCAGCUCUUUCUCCUCUUGCCUCCCUCAGCCACAUCACCCCUCAGCGUACACACAGCUAGAACAGUUUCCUGAUGCAGCCACGCCCAUCUGCCACCCUGUGAUUGGCUGCCCAGGAGUCUCCCUAGACAGUGUCCACAACUGCUGUGCACUGCACACGGGGUUUCCUAAACCUGAAAAGAGAAACGACUGUAAUUCCAUUAGCUUAUAUGCAUCUCAUGCAGGGAUUCAGCCCUCAACUUUUGAAGGCUCUUCCAUGGGCCACAGAAGCAAUAGCAUUUUCUGAAGUAGCACACUGAAGCCUGGCCCGAGGGCUGUCUUCUGUGCUGGCAGGUAUAUUCAAUAAGGAAGAAUGGGGAUACAAACGAAUAUCUAGUACAUGUAGCAUCUCCUAGCCACCAGGCUACAUUCAGUUCAGUAUGGAUACUCCUUGCAGAUCUAAGGUACUGUGUUUUUUUGUGCCAAGUUGUCAUAUUUCCAUCCCUAGAGUGGCAGGUUUUGAUCAAUGUUUAGUCACGUAAAGCAGCGCUCUGGAUCUCACGGAUUUCUGUUCUCCAAGUUACAGUGCUUUCCCAGUCUGAUAAGGUGUCUCUCACCUGAAUCUUAUUCAUUGUCAGUUCUGUUCUUCGGCUCGCAGCUGUUUUUUUGCCUUUGCCUCACACAGAACCGCUGGCAAGAAAGGCUCCAGAGAAUUAGUUAAGGAUGAAGAGGGAGGAGAGACAAAAGGUGCGCCCCCCCCCCCCCCCGCGCACUCCCCAAGAAGCAGGGAAGCUCAAGGGAAAGAAGGUGUUGGGAACUGGCUACAGGCUUGUCCGUGGGCAUGCCUACAGAUGGCUUCCCUCCCCAUCCCUCAGGCUCAGUGGCUCUCCAUCAUUUCUCAGAAUCUCUUUGGAGACAGAGACAUGAAAGGGAGCCGUGGGUCAAAGGCAGGGAUGAGGGCUCCGGGCUCCUUUGUCCGUGGCCUCAUAUCGCCUUUGUGCCCUUGCUUUCCCCAGAAGCAGGUACCUUCCGCUCACCAUGCCACUCACGCCUGUCCUUUUGGAUGACAGCAUCACACCUUCACCAUCACCUCAUUUACAUUUCAAACUGCCUCCCGCCCGCUCUUGAUUAAUUAUUUAGUGACCUAGCUACUACUCUUCAGUGUGUGUGAGCUCAUAUUUCACGUACAAGGUUCAACUUUUUUUUUUUUUUUUUUUUUUUUUUUUUGGUCUAAACCUUCCUUCCUUGAAUUUCAUGUGACUUUCACAGUGAAAUGCCCCAGCCUCCCUUUUUCAGGUACCAUUCUGGCCCAUGGGUUCUCCUUCUUGGUGGCAGACCACCUGGACUGAAUCCCCUGUCUGGGUGUUCCCCUACCUACCCUAGAUUUGAGUCACUCCAUUCAAAGUACGUAAAUAACAGUGUUUAGGAAGCACAAUGUCAAGUUUUCUUUAAUUAUCAGUAACACAUAAGCAAGGGAUGGGAACUUCAGAACUCAAAGGGUUUUGUAGUAUCCCCAGCUCAAUCACUUUGUAGUAAUGGAUGAAUAGUGAGCAUGCUCUGUCUGUAACUUAUUUCCGUUAUCUCUUCAAGGGGUAUAAAAAUGUAUAUGUGUGACACAGUUGUCAGAGGAACACAAGGACUGGAAAGGGACAAUAUUGCCCAGAAACUCUGAGACAUAAUCAAUCUCUCUCAGUGGGUGUCUUAGUCAGGUUUUCUAUUCCUGCACAAACAUCAUGACCAAGAAGCAAAUUGGGGAGGAAAGGGUUUAUUCAGCUUACACUUCCACAUUGCUGUUCAUCACCAUGGAAGUCAGGACUGGAACUCACACAGGGCAGGAACAGGAGCUGAUGCAGAGGCCAUGGAGGGAUGUUCUUUACUGGCUUGCCUCCCCUGGCUUGCUCAGCCUGCUCUCUUAUAGAACCCAAGACUACCAGCCCAGAGAUGGCACCACCCACAAGGGGCCUUUACCCUUGAUCACUAGUUGAGAAAAUGCCUUACAGUUGGAUCUCAUGGUGGCAUUUCCUCACCUGAAUCUCCUUUCUCUGUGAUAACUCCAACUGUGUCAAGUUGACACAAAACUAGCCAGUACAGUGGGAAUGAAAGUUGGCACAGAGGCAGCCCCCUUGAACAAUCAGGGAGUUUAUUAUGUUAUUAUAUUAUUAUUAUAAUAUUAUUAUUUUACCUUUAUUCUGUGCAAAAUUUUCUUACCAGUACUGGAGCAAGGAGGCCAGAGAACUUUGCCAGCAUGCUUUGAAGUUCUGAGUUCUUGUUCUGAGUCUGAGUUCUAGAAAGUGUUAUUGUUCUGGACCUCAGUUCUCUUAUCUGUGAAAUGGGCCAUACUAUGGGUACUAUGGGAAAAAAAAGUUGAUUGGCCGGGGUGAGUAAACUUGUGCCACAUAGUAGGUUGUCAAUAAAUGAUUUUGCUAUUUUCAAAUCCAGACGAGUGGGGGCUUGCCUAUAAGAAAGUUGCUCAGCAUAUAAGAUACAAUUUGCAAAACACAUGAAACUGAAGAAGAACGAAGACCAAAGUGUGGACACUUUGCCCCUUCUUAGAAUUGGAAACAAUCUAAGUACAAACUAACGGUCAGCUAUUGGAUGGAGCACAGGGCCCCCAAUGGAGGAGCUAGAGAAAGUAUCCAAGGAGCUAAAGAGAUCUGCAACCCUGUAGGUGCAACAACAAUAUGAACUAACCAGUACCCCG